CCCGACUGCUAUUUGGGUGAGGAUAAGCCAUGCGAGUUGAAUGGGAUACCUAAAUUUCCCAUGGCAAACUGCUUAGUAACACAUGAUCAACUUACCCUAUAGAGAAAAAUAACCUCGGGAAACUGAGGAUAAUAUUUCAUAGUUGAAUAGGCUUGGAAAAGUUUUUCAAUAAAAGGGAUAAAAAAAAUGGUUUUCAUCUGCCAUAGGAUAGGAUCGUGGACGAUUAUGGUUGUUGGUGAGGUAACGGCUCACCAAGCCGAUAAUCGAUAGGGGCCGUGAGAGCGGGAGCCCCGAGAUGGGUACUGAGACAACGACCCAGGCCUUACGAGGCGCAGCAGGCGCGGAACCUCCGCAAUACACGAAAGUGUGACGGGGCUACCCAAAGUGUUCAAUUCUGAACUGUGGUAGGUGAGUAAUGUUCCCUACUAGAAAGGAGAGGGCAAGGCUGGUGCCAGCUGCCGCGGUAAAACCAGCUCUUCAAGUGGUCGGGAUAAUAUUGGGCUUAAAAGUGUCCGUAGCCGGUUUAGUAAGUUCCUGGUAAAAUCGGGUAGCUUAACUAUCUGUAUGCUAGGAAUACUGCUAUACUAGAGGGCGGGAGAGGUCUGAGGUACUACAGGGGUAGGGGUGAAAUCUUAUAAUCCUUGUAGGACCACCAGUGGCGAAGGCGUCAGACUGGAACGCGCCUGACGGUGAGGGACGAAAGCCAGGGGAGCGAACCGGAUUAGAUACCCGGGUAGUCCUGGCCGUAAACGAUGCAUACUAGGUGAUGGUGUGGCCAUGAGCCGUAUCAGUGCCGUAGGGAAACCGUUAAGUGUGCCGCCUGGGAAGUACGGUCGCAAGGCUAAAACUUAAAGGAAUUGGCGGGGGAGCACCACAAGGGGUGAAGCCUGCGGUUCA
rnacentral:rRNA from 1 species